rnacentral:rRNA from 1 species
UACGUAGGGCGCGAGCGUUGUCCGGAAUUAUUGGGCGUAAAGAGCUUGUAGGCGGUUUGUCGCGUCUGCUGUGAAAGGCCGGGGCUUAACCCCGUGUAUUGCAGUGGGUACGGGCAGACUAGAGUGCAGUAGGGGAGACUGGAACUCCUGGUGUAGCGGUGGAAUGCGCAGAUAUCAGGAAGAACACCGAUGGCGAAGGCAGGUCUCUGGGCUGUAACUGACGCUGAGAAGCGAAAGCAUGGGGAGCGAACAGGAUUAGAAACCCCUGUAGUCC